rnacentral:tRNA from 1 species
CCCCUGGUGGUCUAGUGGUUAGGAUGUGGCGCUCUCACUGCCGCGGCCCGGGUUCGAUUCUGGUCGGGGAA